rnacentral:rRNA from 1 species
UACGUAGGGUGCAAGCGUUAAUCGGAAUCAUUGGGCGUAAAGCGCGCGUAGGUGGCCUCGUAAGUCCGCUGUGAAAGUCAAAGGCUCAACCUUUGAAAGCCGGUGGAUACUGUGAGGCUAGAGUACGGAAGAGGCGAGUGGAAUUCCUGGUGUAGCGGUGGAAUGCGCAGAUAUCAGGAGGAACACCAAUAGCGAAGGCAGCUCGCUGGGACGUUACUGACACUGAGGCGCGAAAGCGUGGGGAGCGAACAGG